rnacentral:rRNA from 1 species
GGCUUAUUGAUUAUAAUUUUAAGUCAGGCCUGCCCAAUGAAUAUAUUUAAUGGCCGCGGUAUAUUGACCGUGCAAAGGUAGCAUAAUCAUUAGUUUUUUAAUUGAAAGCUUGAAUGAAAGGUUUGAUGAAAAAAUUUCUGUCUCUAUAAAAAUUAAUUAAAAUUUUAUUUUUAAGUGAAAAAGCUUAAAUUAUUAUAGAAGACGAGAAGACCCUAUAGAGUUUAAUAUUUCUGUUUUAGGAUAAAUUUAAGGGUUGAAUAAAAUUUAUUUAAAACAGAAAUAUUUAGUUGGGGUGAUUAGAAAAUUAAAUAAACUUUUUUUUAAUAUAAACAUUAAUUUUUGAAUAAAUGAUCCUAAAGUUUUAGAUUGAAAGAGAAAAUUACCUUAGGGAUAACAGCGUAAUUUUUUUUAGAGUUCUUAUCGAAAGAAAAGUUUGCGACCUCGAUGUUGGAUUAAAAUAAAUUAUUGGUGAAGAGGCUAAUAAAUUAGGGUCUGUUCGACCUUUAAAAUUUUACAUGAUCUGAGUUUAAACCGGCGUAAG